rnacentral:rRNA from 1 species
UACGAAGGGGGGCUAGCGUUGUUCGGAAUUACUGGGCGUAAAGCGCACGUAGGCGGAUAUUUAAGUCAGGGGGUGAAAUCCCAGAGCUCAACUCUGGAACUGCCUUUGAUACUGGGUAUCUUGAGUAUGGAAGAGGUAAGUGGAAUUGCGAGUGUAGAGGUGAAAUUCGUAGAUAUUCGCAGGAACACCAGUGGCGAAGGCGGCUCACUGGACCGGUACUGACGCUGAUGCGCGAAAGCGUGGGGAGCAAACGGG